rnacentral:piRNA from 1 species
GAUCCUCACGUUUGACCAGUUAG